GAUGAAGAACGUAGCGAAAUGCGAUAAGUAAUGUGAAUUGCAGAAUUCAGUGAAUCAUCGAGUCUUUGAACGCACAUUGCGCCCCCUGGUAUUCCGGGGGGCAUGCCUGUCCGAGCGUCAUUGCCGCCCUCAAGCACGGCUUGUGUGUUGGGCCCCCGCCCCCCGGCUUCGGGGGGCGGGCCCGAAAGGCAGCGGCGGCACCGCGUCCGGUCCUCGAGCGUACGGGGCUUCGUCACCCGCUCUGUAGGCCCGGCCGGCGCCCGCCGGCGACCCCAAUCAAUCUUUCCAGGUUGACCUCGGAUCAGGUAGGGAUACCCGCUGAACUUAAGCAUAUCAAUAAGCGGAGGA
rnacentral:misc_RNA from 1 species